CUUUAAAAAAAUGCUUACGAUUACGAUAAAUUUCCCCCAGACACCACCCUCCCCCAUGUUUCCAAAUGGUCCAGAUGGAUUAUAUCGUAGCGAGAAAGCUAUAAACAUGAAAUAGCGCUAAACAAAAACAAUCGGUUAAAAUAUUUCUCAUCACAUCAGAUUUAUUGUUGUUGGUGUCGAUCUAAUGCAAACGUUUUACAUGGCUCAUUCAAACUAAUUGAAAUAAUUACACUUAAUAUAAGCUUUUUUAAAAAAAAUUUUUUUAUGCUUUUCUUGUUAUGAUUUGUAGAGAAAUCGAUAUUAGUUUAAAUUAUGUUCACCAAUAACUAACUGCAUAACUAAUGACAAAUAUUUAAAAAAACGAUUAUUUUACGAAUUAGAAAUCUAUAUAAACAGCUCUAUGCUUUUGUUUUCCUUUGUA